rnacentral:rRNA from 1 species
UACGGAGGGUGCGAGCGUUAUCCGGAUUUACUGGGUUUAAAGGGUGUGUAGGCGGGCUUUUAAGUCAGUGGUGAAAUCUCCGGGCUCAACCCGGAAACUGCCAUUGAUACUAUUAGUCUUGAAUUUUGUUGAGGUAGGCGGAAUAAGUCAUGUAGCGGUGAAAUGCUUAGAUAUGACUUAGAACACCAAUUGCGAAGGCAGCUUGCUAAACAAACAUUGACGCUGAGGCACGAAAGCGUGGGGAGCAAACAGG